rnacentral:lncRNA from 1 species
GUGCAUUAGUGGAUAUAUUAAGUAGGUGGUUAAUCACUCCCUUUAAAACAUAUGCUAUCAAUUCAGAAAGGCAUAUCAUUAUUUCAGAUAAAAGGCACACGCUAUCUUUUAAUAACUCGAGUUAUCAACUGAAUUAGAAUCUAUGUUUAAAAAACAAAACGUUUAACAUUCGAGCAAAUUUCUUAUAUUAAACAUUGUGUGCAAAUUAUAUGUUGAUAAUGUGAAACUUACGAGACCUGACCCAGAGUUGGUUUAGAAAUAAGAAAGACAAUGGACUGAGGUGUAUCACAGAUAAGUUGCAUACCAGGAAAAAAGAAAGACGUGGUCUUUAUGGAGAUCAUUCCAUAGACGGCACAGGAAAGAUUUUCAGAGAGCCCACAAGAGGCCAUUCCUCUCCAUUUCCUGUGGGACAGCCUGGCUUGUCUCAGAAGAGGAGGCUCGGAAGCCUGUUUUCUCCACAGGGCUUCUACUGACCAAAGGAGUUUCAGGGCUGGUUCUGAUGACUCUGCCUGUGACCAACUAACCUGAAUGGCACAGUGAGAACUGUCUACCUGUGGUCCGAUUGUUCAAAAUGAAAUGUACUCCCCCAAAUGUAAUGAACUCUGGCCAUGCUGGUAUUUAAAAUCACACUGGUGAACACAGAGGACGAAUGGUGUCAAGGGAAAAUAAAGGGAAUCGUCUGUACAUUAGUAGGUCAUAAGAAUCAACUUAAUGGUUCAUGGCCAGGACUUUUCUUUUUUAAUGAAGAGAACAGGACCAGGCACAGUGGCUCACACCUGUAAUCCAUCACAGCAUUUUGGGAGGCCAAGGCAGGAAGAUUGUUUGAGCUCAGGAGUUUGAGACCAGCCGGGGCAACACAGUGAGAUCCCAUCUUUACAAAAAGUUUUUAAAAAUUAGCCAGGCAUGAUGGUGCAUGCCUGUAGUCCCAUCUCCUCAAGAGGCUGAGGUGGGAGGAUUGCUUGACCUCAGGAGGUUGAGGUUGCAGUGAGCCGAGAUCAUGCCAUUGCAGUCCAACCUGGAUGACAGAACGAGACUCUGCCUCAAAAAAAAAAAAAUGUAAGAGUGUGUGUGUGUGUGUGUGUGUGUGUGUGUAUAAAAUGCAUCAUACAUAGAAGGGAUAAAUACUAUUCUUUAAACUGUUGCUUCCAGUGUAUGGGGAUGGGGUUGCAAUAUCAAUGAAUUUCCCACUGUUGGUCUUGGUCAAACAAAAAUGUAAAAGGCCUUGGGUCAAACAAUCUCAGAGUUUAAUCUUAUUAUUAAAAUCUCUGACCUCACAAUGAGCACCUAUUAAAAUUUUAGAGUAAAACUGUAUUUCUGUUUUAUAUUUUAGCCAUGAUUUCAAGUAAGAAAAGCUGUUUUUCUGAUAAACUGCACUGCAAAAGGAAAGAUCACCAAAGAAAAGUGAUUUAGCACCACCUAGUGGCUGAAUACUGCAUGGGUUUUAUUCCCAAGAGCUACCAAAAAAAAAAAAAAAAAAAAAAAAAAAAAAAAUCCCUGAGGUUAUCCCUGAGGUUUCUAACCUGUUUGGGAUUAUACCUAAAUUAAGUAUUAAGUAUUAAGAGUUGCAACACUCUAAUCAAGGAUAUCAAGAGUUGCACUGGUACCCAAGUCUUAUGCAAGCAAUGUGAGUUGCUACAUGAUUUAAGACACCUGCUCACACUACAAUUCUGUUUUCUCAUACUCUAUGCUACAGAAUCUUUGGAAACCACUGCUUCCCCAAACCUGUGCCCUUUGCCAACCUCUUGCUUAAGAAAUUACUGAAACAGUUAAAGAAAACCUAGGAGAAGAAGCAGACUUAAGAACAAAGGAAUCUGGAAACAGGAGAAGAUGAUCAGGACAGACUUCAUAGUGUCCUUGUGAAAAUUUAAUGAGAAGACAUUGCAAAACAUCUAGAGCAAUGGCACAGCAGAUGAUGAAAGGGAUGGGAAACUCCUGGGGAUAGAAGCAGAGGAAUGACAUAACUACAGACAUGCUUGAGAAAGAAUGAGUCCGGCGGACAUGAAGGAGACUGCAGAAAGGCCACUGCAACCCAGAGGGGAGGGGUGGUGACAGUUCCAAUCAGGUCAGUUACAGAAGCUGGGAUAAGAAGGAAGGCAUGGGUUCCAGAGCUUUCCGAAGGAGUCAUUGCAGGACUUCAAUUGCAAGAAUAUCAGGGUUAGGUUGGGGCAGAAAGCACAUCCAAAAAGGAAGACAAAAAUGACAUGGAAAAAACGAUGGCAUAUUGGGCUUUCUAACAGACUGCUUGAUGCUAAAACAGUCUGUCUCACAAUUUUUUUUUAAGAUCACAAACCUCAAAACUAGAGAUUUAUAUGUUUAGAA